AUGGCAACCAUGGCGGACGGGUGAGUAACGCGUAAGGGACUUACCUGCAGGACUGGGAUAACAGGGGGAAACUCCUGACAAGACCGGAUAAUGUCAUGGAGCUGCAUGGCUUUAUGAUGAAAGGAGACGCCUGCGGAGAGCCUUGCGUCCUAUUAGCUAGUUGGUGAGGUAAUGGCUCACCAAGGCGAAGAUAGGUAGCCGGCCUGAGAGGGUGGACGGCCACAAGGGGACUGAGAUACGGCCCUUACUCC
rnacentral:rRNA from 1 species